ACUCUAAAAAUGGCUGGGUUAUUUUUUAACCCAAAAUGCUGGGUUGAGUCUGUUGGGUUGUUUUGCUGGGUUAAUUUUUAACAUUUUAAACACUUUUUGGGUAGUUUCAGUUUUCUGGUUGUUGGGUUAAAACUGCUGGGUUAUUAUACUGGGUUGUUUGAAGAGGCUCACGUGCUUCGCGCCUUUGAUGUUUGAAUGUGCUCAGCAACGGUCGUCGUGAAAGGACAGAGUCACUGGAAGCAGUUGUUUCAAGAGAGUGCAGAGUUUUUAUGUCCAUCCAUUAAUGAGGCUAGCAAGGCCUUCAUACAACUUCAGCCAAUUGCAACAAAUGUGGUGGAAGUUCUUCUCUGGACAGAAUCCUCGAAACCCUUUCCUUUAUUUCCUGGCCAUGGGAAACAUGCAACAGAUCUCUCAAUCUUUUUUGUCUAUCAGUCUCUCUGAUGGAGCCAAUACGGAAGUGACUUAAACUGCAAUUCGGCCAAGAUGGCGACGGCACGCACCGCCUACUUUAGGCUUCAAAAAUGCUCUUCACAACCAAUGGGUGACAUCACGGACACUACUUUCAUAUUUUUUUACAGUCUAUGGUUUAAAGGCAUUUUACGUGCUUGAAAAUAAAUACCCCAGGCAAUGUGCAUCUACUGUAGUCUGUCAUUUUCCAAAUGGAUGAAUCCUCUGCUGUUCGGUUCCUUUGUACAUCUUUGUUCGUGAGGAGUAACUUUAAUAAAUGAAGUAUUUUUAGUCAAAUACAUUCCAUACUCUGAAACUUGGAACAUCUGUUCUGUAAAAAACUUUACACAUCUGUAAAUGAUUUUACUUUUAAUUUAACAAUUACAUUGUUUAUUUUCUUACACUGCUGCAGUUUUAUUUAUGUACAUUUCAGUAUUUCAUUUAUAUAUUGUAUAUACUUAUAUACAAAUUCUGUCUUAAAU